GACGAACGCUGGCGGCGUGCCUAAUACAUGCAAGUGGGACGCAAGGAAACACACUGUGCUUGCACACCGUGUUUUCUUGAGUCGCGAACGGGUGAGUAACGCGUAGGUAACCUGCCUAUUAGCGGGGGAUAACUAUUGGAAACGCUAGCUAAUACCGCAUAAUAUUAAUUAUUGCUUGAUAAUUGAUUUAAAGAUGCAAGCGCAUCACUAGUAGAUGGACCUGCGUUGUAUUAGCUAGUUGGUAAGGUAAGAGCUUACCAAGGCGACGAUACAUAGCCGACAUGAGAGGGUGAUCAGCCACAAUGGGACUGAGACACGGCCCAGACUCCUACGGGAGGCAGCAGUAGGGAAUCUUCGGCAAUGGACGAAAGUCUGACCGAGCAACGCCGCGGGAGGGAAGAAGGUUUUCGGAUCGUAAAGCUCUGUUGUAAGGCAAGAACGUGUGUGAGAGUGGAAAGUUCACACAGUGACGGUAGCUUACCAGAAAGGGACGGCUAACUACGUG
rnacentral:rRNA from 1 species